rnacentral:lncRNA from 9 species
CAGUAAGGCCCAGGGGCCCUGGCCCAGGCUUGGCCUGGACAGAAGCCACCAUAUUAACACCACUGCCAAGUAGAAAUGAAUCACCCUACCCAUUGGCCAGGCUCAGUGUCCCUGUAAUUUCGUUUUAAAACCUCAAUGAUCAAGAUAAAAAGAAAGCAAUAAAACAUAUCCAAGUUUUACUCGUGCAGUUUGAAGAGCCCCCAUUCUCUGUGUCUGUGGCCUUGACACUUCUUUUGGCAUCGCUAUUAGUGACAUGAGGAGUAAUUCACCACUGUCAGGGAAUUUGGCUGUUUCAUCACCUACAUGAGAGACCUGCAUAACUCCAUGGUGAUUGCUGUCUAGAUGAAUUAUGUGGCUCCUUCAUGCACUUUUUGAUUGAACAGUGAUAACGCAGAUAAUGCAUUAUCCCAGUGCCCUCUCUGAGAGGAACUUGCUCUUUCUUCUUACAGAACAGUGAAGGAAAGCCCUCGUCGAGGCCUUUAAAGUGACAUCACCAUGCCAAUCCCAACUUACUACAGUCUGUAAGAAGCAAUUGCUGGACCAGAUUAAAUAUAGUAAAGGACUCCAAAGUCCUGUGCUGGAUGCUAACCCCUCAUGUGAAGACCAGCCUCUUCUGAAGUGCUAGUCUGGACUGACUCUCAAAUCUAACGUUGACUAAAUGUGCCCUGGGGUUGGUUAGAGUCACUGAACAACAGAUGCCACAUUGCUUCUGCUUUAAGAUUGGGUGACUCCUGUUCCUUGCCAAUCAACCUUGUCUUCUUGUCUUUUUGCAACAUCUGUCAGUUACCAAUCCAUGGGUGGUGAGCAGAAUUGGAUCAAUAAACUUCCACUGUCCUGGGCAGCUGUCACUUCAUCCCUAUGCCUGGUCUGUUCCUUAUGGCACCUGAGAGCUUUCUAGAGUGUGUUUCUUUCUGUGGGACAUAACAGGACUUUGGCAACACAAGGUUAAACAAAGUUAAACAUGCUUUGUGGCAAGAUUUCUUGCGGCCUUCACUGAGGUAA